rnacentral:lncRNA from 1 species
AUAAUGCUGAACUCCACUUUGCUCUAGCAAAUUCUUAAAUUCCUCAGAAAAAUCAAGAGGAAAACAGUCUUUGGAGAAAGCCAGCCAGUGUCCUUCACGGUGGAUCCACAUCAGACCUUGGCAGUGGAUGCUACACUUUGUAAACACAUUUGUGUGUGUUUUUUUUGUUUGUUUGUUUGUUUUUUGUUUUCCUUUCGAUAUUUUGGCACAUUUCUUUCCCAUAUAUUCCUUGAUAAAACAAAGCUGCUGGAUUGAUCCAUGCAGCUGUGCCUGAAGCAAGGGGUGCAGGACACAGUCCCAAGUGGCACAACCCAGGGUACACUAAACCUUCCCCAAACAUGAAUGUUUCUGCUUAGGUGGUAGCCGAGCUGUCAUCUCACGAGCUGGACUGUGGCUACCAGCAACGCGAGGCUGCUUGAAUCUGGUCCUCAUUUCUUCUUUGCAAGACCUUGAUGACCACAAGAGUGAAAAAUAAAAGAACCUUAAAUCUAUUUGGGGAUGGAGAAAGGGGGGAAGUUUUUCUUCACUGCGGACUCAGACUGGAUGGAUGCCAAACCACAUUUCAGAGGGGUGAGAAAGACCCAACAUCUGCUUCUGGUGUAACUGUUUGUAUCUUCACUCUAGGAAAAUUAGGUUUGAAAUAAUCUCAAAUUGUCUGACACCUGUAUCCUAUUAGAAGUGACACAUGGAAACACCUUCAGCAUACUGAAUUUAGCACCAUGUCAACAGUUUAAAGUUAACCGGAAAAAUUGGUAAAAAUCAUUGCUUCCCAGUUUCUGCUGAAACAGAUCUGGUGUCUUUUCACAGGAUCAUACUGCAAGCUUGAUCCAUGAAUGUAAUGGGCUUUGAGCCCAUAAUUACAACAUGGCUUGUGUCCCUGGCUGUGGCUUGAAUUAAAUUCAGCGUGCACCUCAGGGUGACUGGUGCACUGCAUUUUGAGCCAAGGCUCGCUGGAGGCACACCUAAGGGCUGGGUGCCAGCCAGCAGCCAGGACAUGGGUAUGCAGUGGUUGCAAGGACAGUUUCUCUGAAGUUCGGCUAUGAAUCUGAAGUUUAGCAACUUAAAGAUAUUAGAAUAGUAAGCAGGUUGUAUCUUAUUUGUCUCAAGAAAGGGAGUUGUAUUCCUGCUACAGAACAUAAAUUCUGCCAUGGCAUAAAGGUUCGCUUGUGUUUGGACACCAAUAAAAUCCAAAAGACUUCAGGAUUCA